rnacentral:rRNA from 1 species
AUUGAACGCUGGCGGCAUGCCUUACACACGCAAGUCGAACGGCAGCAUGAUCUAGCUUGCUAGAUUGAUGGCGAGUGGCGAACGGGUGAGUAAUACAUCGGAACGUGCCCUGUAGUGGGGGAUAACUAGUCGAAAGAUUAGCUAAUACCGCAUACGACCUGAGGGUGAAAGUGGGGGACCGCAAGGCCUCAUGCUAUAGGAGCGGCCGAUGUCUGAUUAGCUAGUUGGUGAGGUAAAGGCUCACCAAGGCGACGAUCAGUAGCUGGUCUGAGAGGACGAUCAGCCACACUGGGACUGGGACACGGCCAAGACUCCUACGGGAGGCAGCAGUGGGGAAUUUUGGACAAUGGGCGAAAGCCUGGUCCAGCAAUGCCGCGUGUGUGAAGAAGACCUUCGGGUUGUAAAGAACUUUUGUCCGGAAAGAAAUGGCUCUGGUUAAUACCUGGGGUCGAUGACGGUACCGGAAGAAUAAGGACCGGCUAACUACGUG